rnacentral:rRNA from 1 species
UACGUAGGGUGCGAGCGUUGUCCGGAAUUAUUGGGCGUAAAGAGCUUGUAGGCGGUUUGUCGCGUCUGCCGUGAAAUUUCGAGGCUCAACCUCGAACUUGCGGUGGGUACGGGCAGACUAGAGUGUGGUAGGGGAGACUGGAAUUCCUGGUGUAGCGGUGAAAUGCGCAGAUAUCAGGAGGAACACCGAUGGCGAAGGCAGGUCUCUGGGCCACUACUGACGCUGAGAAGCGAAAGCAUGGGGAGCAAACAGG